rnacentral:piRNA from 1 species
UCUUGCAGUGACAAGUGGGUCUUGCAGUGC